ACGAACGCUGGCGGCAUGCCUAACACAUGCAAGUCGAACGAGACCUUCGGGUCUAGUGGCGCACGGGUGCGUAACGCGUGGGAACCUGCCCUUAGGUUCGGAAUAACUCCCCGAAAGGGGUGCUAAUACCGGAUAAUGUCUUCGGACCAAAGAUUUAUCGCCUUUGGAUGGGCCCGCGUUGGAUUAGCUAGUUGGUAGGGUAAAAGCCUACCAAGGCGACGAUCCAUAGCUGGUCUGAGAGGAUGAUCAGCCACACUGGGACUGAGACACGGCCCAGACUCCUACGGGAGGCAGCAGUGGGGAAGAUUGGACAAUGGGCGAAAGCCUGAUCCAGCAAUGCCGCGUGAGUGAUGAAGGCCUUAGGGUUGUAAAGCUCUUUUACCCGGGAUGAUAAUGACAGUACCGGGAGAAUAAGCUCCGGCUAACUCCGUGC
rnacentral:rRNA from 1 species